rnacentral:rRNA from 1 species
CUACUAUAAGACUGGGAUAACUUCGGGAAACCGGAGCUAAUACCGGAUAAUAUUUUGAACCGCAUGGUUCAAAAGUGAAAGACGGUCUUGCUGUCACUUAUAGAUGGAUCCGCGCUGCAUUAGCUAGUUGGUAAGGUAACGGCUUACCAAGGCAACGAUGCAUAGCCGACCUGAGAGGGUGAUCGGCCACACUGGAACUGAGACACGGUCCAG